rnacentral:lncRNA from 1 species
AACACAGGCGUGGCUCCUAGCGGUGCUCAAGAAGUGUGGGGAAUUUUUGUAUGCUGUGUCUCCUCAAUAAACGUAGAACAAGUAACCAAACAAAGAAAUGAAUGAACAAAAGGAACUGGAUGUUCUUACAGAAUACUUUAUCUAGAACAGAGGUUUUCAAACGUUUGGUUGUUGUUAGUGGAGAAAACCGUGCCUCAAGUAAGAUCUUAUGCAGAAGGUCAGCAUCGAAAAAUAAGAAAAAUGCAGCAGCUUCAAAAGUAGGAGGGGAUCCUGUCGCCCUCUUACCCAGACCCCUUGGUCCUCUUCUUUGCAUACCAGGUCAUCUUUGCCGUGAGACUCCAAAAAGUGCAGUUCCAAAACCACAGAUCUGGGCGAUAUUUUCAAAACUACAUUUUAUUACAGCCUUUAUCUAGAUUCCACAAAUUUUGUAUUAGUUCUAUUUUCUCUUUGUUAAUAAUCUAAGUGAAAUGUUUAUCAUUACAUCUUCUAACUUGUAUUGUUGUGGAUACAUAGGAAAGCUGCCUUUGGAGAGAAGGAAAUUCUCUUAAAAAUACAUCCACUGUUUCAGCGUAUUCUCCUGGGGUUCUCCAAGUACAUAACCACAUCGGUUACAGAUUAUUUUAUUUCCUCCUGGCCAGUAUUUUUCUCUCUUAUUUGUUUCAUGUUUUAGUGUACACACCAGAACCUCCAAAAUAAUGUUAUACAAAAAUGGUCAUAGGCAUCGUCCUUUGGUUCUUGGUUUUAAGGAGCUUCCUCCUAGAACAGUUGUUCUCUACUUUAUUGCCAGACUCCCAAGCCCUCGAGAGUCUGAUUUAAUUGGUCAGGGCUGGGUCUCAGGCAUCAGCAGGCCUUAAACGUUCCCCAGGUGAUGCUUAUGUUCAAAGGAUUGAGACCCUCAGCUCCAGACAAUUUAACAUGGAGUAUGAUGUUGGCUGCUUAUUUAACACAGAUAUUCCUUAUCACAUUUAGGAAAGAUAUGCAGUUCUCAGGUAUCUGAGAUUUGUUCGUUUUUUCGUUUGUUUUCUAGUUUAGAAAGAGUGUUGCAAUUAUCUAUUGAGAUGAUUGCAUUAUACAUAUAUUCUUAUUGAAUACAUUAAAGUGGUGAAUACAACAUCCUUGUGUUCUUCAGUUAAACUCAACUCGGCCGUGAGAAGAAACCGAAGCACAGAAAGGUGAAGCAAAGUUGGUGCUUGACCCCAUCGCUCAAAAGGGGCAGAGUGGAAGAACGCGUGUGACCAGAAACCAGGCAGGAAAGGGUUAAAGUCUGAUCCAUAACUAAACAAAGUCUGUCAAGUGUUUUCCAGACAAGGAGAAAACUAUAUGUGCUGUUUUCCAGAAGUUGAUGUCCUCCUUUUGGCAGAUGGUGCCCUCCUACAGUGAGACUUACACCGUUGCAGCAGGACCCCUGUAAAUUCCUCCAGUUCCAAGUAUCCAAAACUUACCUUGGACCUGUUCUGUAAGGCAUGUUGCAUUGAGCUCACUAUGUAAUGGCCUGCACAUGCUCCCUGAUUAGGCCCAUUUGUUACACAGUUGUAACAUAUGGACACUCCGGAGCAUAAAGUCUCCACCUGCACUAAGGGGGGAGGGGAUGGGGAAGGCAGUGCUGUGGAAGCUAUGCCCAGUGUCCUCCAUUGCUUACUGCAAGCAACUAAACCAUUUUUCUUCACUCACUUAGCCUUGGUUGUGCUUUUCAGCCCUGCGCUCACCCAUUGAGUUCGGUUACACAUGGGCAGAUGGUUUUACUCUAGAGCUUGUAUUCUCAACCAUUAUGAUAACAACUGACAAACCACCUGGAAAAAAACAAAGAUGGAGCUCAGCAGUAGGUCCUGGUCCAGCUUGCUGGGCUCAACCCUUGCUCUUUGGCCCUGAAACAUGGGCGGUAUCUGAGUGCAUAUGUCCACAGAUGGGUCAUUGUUAGCACAGGGAUAGAAAUAUCUUGGCGUUAUUAUCUAACCUGUGAACAGGUAGCAGGAUGGCCCUGGUGGCAGAGAAAGAAAUUGUGCCCACCACCAGGAAGUGAGAACCAGGCGAUGAGAUGUGUUAAAGGCAGGUUUGCAACCUGGUAAAGUAAUUAUGCUGGACUUGAAAGGACCUCACCCUGGAAAUGCAAAAUGCCAUUGUAAACAACCUACGUGUUUCCCACCAAGAAGAGGAGAAAGCUGAGAAGGAAAGCUCCCCCAACAUCUGCAUGCUGGAUAUACCUUUGACUCUGCUCUGCCUGCCUGUGCCCUGGGACCUGACCUCCAUGGCCUGCAUCUCUUGGGCUUUCUUGUCCUCUGGCUUCCAUUUGUCUUCAAUGGAUGUACCAGCAGGAAACCAGAGAUCCAGAGGAGAGAGCAGUUAGAAUGUUUACUCUGAUGGCUGCAGAUUUGGCAGUGGCUGCAUUCCUCAAUCUAUGGCCACAUCUCCUGGUGGGUGGCCUCUUUCCCAUGACGAUGGGCUCACUGGCUUCCACUAACACUGCUCCCUCCCCUUGUCCCUUUGUGCCUAGGGGAGGGGAAGUCUUCUCACUCUUGCUAAUUCCUGAGUACUUAACCAUUUAUUGUUGAGUCCAUUAAUCCUGCCAGCACCUGUGUCAACAGUCUUUCCAUUAAACUCGCUUCAGUUAAGCUUUGGAUGUA